rnacentral:lncRNA from 1 species
GUUGCAUUUUAUAACAAUAGCCCAGAACUCUGUGCUCUCUGGAUACAUGGCUGUCUGUGUCUGCAGCUCUGUUAUGAUGUUUCCCCACCUCCGGACUGGUGCUUCCCUUGGGUGGUUGAGGGACCAGGAGUGCUGAGAUGAACAGCCCUGGCCCCGGCGGCAAGCCUCUUGCUGCAGGGGAACCUGCAGGUUGUUCUGUGCUGGGUCCUGUGGGCAUCAGGAAGUUUGUCCCUCAGGAAGCUCACGUGCAGCACUUGGGAAGAAUGGGCUCAACCCAGGCCCAUUGCUGGGUAACCAGUGCCCGGGCCUCCCAGGGCCUCACCGCUCACACUCCAUUCAGCAGACCCAGGACGUCAGAGAGCCAGAAGAACUGGGCUGAAGGCAGGGAGUUUGGCUCGGCCUUUCCUGAGCUGCACCGCUGGCCGGACUCUGCUGGAGCAGCUUCACCCGAGCCUCCACUCUCUCUGCAGGCCCUGCUCUGGCUCCUGCGCCUUCCUCGAAGAGCAGGGCGCAUCUCCCCGGGAACCUGGCCUCAGGGGCUCCAGGGACCCCAGCUGCAGCGGGGCAGCCCCACCCCAGGCAGCCCCUCCAUCCUGUCUUCCUUCGCUCUUUGCCUUGAGCGUGGCUCUCCAGGGUGUGAGGCGCCUGGUGGCUCUGGCAGCCGACGUGGUCCUCACAUGGGUCCCGACUCCAAAUGCAAGCAUCUUUGUCAUCGCUUCCUUUCCCCCGUUUCCUGGGAAUUCAGCACGUUUCAGGACACAGCCUACACUUUCUGCAACAAGACUGCCCUUGCCUGCUUGACUCUCCUCGCCGUUCCCAGGCGACUUUGGAUCUACAAGUGUGAUGGAAGAAUACAGUGAAUGAGUAAAUAAAAAUCUCUUACAGUAAAGGACUCAUUCAUCAUCCCCUCCCUUGUCCUGCUCACUUCAGUACACACAUCCCAUUCUUUUCGCCCUUGUCUGAAACAAUUUGCAGCUUAUAUUUAUGGAGAUUUCUGUCAAAUCAAAAUAUUAGGCUGUGUCUUUAUCCACACCAGAUCUGCCACCACGUGACUUCCAGCUCUCAAAAUGACCAUGGCAGUGCACGUUUUGAGUGGAUUCAGGACAUCGAGGCAGCCACGAUAGCACAACUAAAGACACUCUUGAAAGAAGGCUCGCGGAACUGCUCCAGAAAGUGGCAAGAAUGAUGGGAUAAGUGCGUUCGCUGGGAGAGGGAGUAUUUUAAGGACGAUUCAUGGGACAGGGUCUUCUACUGUAAUAAUUGAAAGAAUUGAAGCAUUCACCUCUUUUUUUUUAAUCAUUCUGCCUACCGUAGUCAUUGCAUGCACGGCUGCGUAUUAGGAAGUUUCUGUGUACGGCCACGCUCCUCCUCACUCACCGCUGGAAUGAGAUUGUAAGCUCUUUGAGAGCAGGGAACAUUCCUUACUCAUAUUUAUCAUCCCGAGGCUUUGGGUCUCGGAGGGACUUCUGAAGCCAGGUCAGAUCUUGCCCUCUAGCAGCUCUGUGGCCUGGGAAGGAGAGGGGAAGAGACCACAGUGGCGACACAGUCACGGGAGGAAUACUGGGAAUGAGCCACCCCUGCCUGAUGCAUGGAUUUGAAACCAACCCUUAGGGGAGAAUUUUAUCGUUGGUGCCUUUGACUUUGCUUUGUUUGGCUUAUUUAUCUUUUCCUUUUUUGUUUUGUACCGGGGAUCAAACUCAGGACCUUGCACUUGCGAGGCAGGCACGGUGCCGCAGAGCUAAAUCCCUGGCCCAUUUUUUCCUUUUGAUGAAUUCUAUCUUCUCUGAUUUGCAGUGAGAUUUUGGGACAAUAAGCUUUCUUAGUAUUGAGCCUCAGUUUCUUCAAUUAUAACCUGAGGGUGGAUUUGUUUUUGCUAAGUGAGGCGCCUUCUGGAAGAAACUCUGGCAAGGCUGGGACCAAUGCUGCAUAAGGGAGAGCGCUGUAGAAGCCUGGAGGCUGUGAGAGGCCAUCACAGGGC